GAGAAGGCUGGAGGAGGGAAGAUUCCAUGUAGUUUCGAGGCCGAAAGGAGGGGCAGGAGGGUGAAUUAGGCCAUAAUUAGGGGAAGGCCUUGUGGGCUGUAUCUCAUGAAAUCGCUGUAAUCCGGGAUGGAUGGAUGAAUCGGUAUUUGGAUUGAUGAUAUGCAAUGAGAUGGAUGGAUGGUAAUUUGCGGCUGGCAAGGAUUCGGCUAUUCCCGUCGUAUUCCUUGCGUUCCUACAGGCUUUGUGGUUGGAUUUGUAUCAUAGCCCAUUAUUAUGCGCAUCAUGGUCAUGCUCUCCACUCUUAUCUCCCUC
rnacentral:lncRNA from 1 species